ACCACCAUAGACCUUAUUCCCAGAGGUCUGGGUGAGCCCUGGCACCACAGAAGACCCCUGACCUCCACCUCGGGCCAGCUUCGAGGGGCCAUCUGUAGUCCUUCUUCCAUCUUCAAAGCCAGCAGCAGCAGGUCAAGUUCUCAUCCUUCAUCUGACCUCCUCUUCUGCCCUGAAGGACCUCUGUGAUUGGGUCCACCCGAAUAAUCCAGAAAAGUCUCCCCAUUUUAAGGUCUGAUUGGCAAUCUUAAUUCUAUCUGUAACCUUAAUUCCCCUUGGCUGUGUAACAGAACAUAUUCACAGAUGCUGGAGAUUAGAUCAUGGACUUCUCGGCGGGGAGGGGGGGGGACCCAUUAUUCGGCCCAAUAUAGAUGUUUAACAAACAACAUGAACCAGCAGUUCUCGGAUUUUUGAAUUUCACAAACUGUUUAGACAAACAAGCUGUUGUGGUUAUCUAUUUCUGUGUACCAAAUCACUCCCAAACUCAGUGGUUUGAAGCAACAAAAAUUAUUUAUUUUCCUCACAAAUCUGCAGUUCGGGCAAGGUUGGUGGAAUUCAUCUCUGAUCCAUGUAAGUAUCGGUUGUGGCAGCUCAACUGGAGCUGAAGGAUCCUCUUCCAAAAGGGCUCGCUCCACGUCUGGCAGGUUGGUGCUGGCUCAGUUAGGACCUCGUCCAGUACUGGCCAGGGGCCUUGCUUCCUUUCUCUAUGGGCCUCUCCUCAUGGCUUCUUGGGCAUUCCAACAGCAUGGCAGUUGGGUUCCAUAAGUAAGUGUUCCAGAAAGCCUAGGAGGAAGCUGCAAGGCUUCCUAUGACCUAGUUGCAGAAGUUCUCAACUAUUAGUUAUGCCCACUCUAUUUUAUUAGCCAAGUGAAUCGAUAAGGCCAGCCCCCAGAUUCAAGGGGAGACAAAUUAGAUGCACCUCUCAAUGGGAGACGCGCCAAAGAAUUUGUGACUAUCCUUAAGCUACUGCACACAUAAAACAAAAAACAAAACAAAAACCAAACUCACAGACAAAAGGGAAGACCAACAUAGUAUUGCCAUAUUUUGCUUUGACAAAAAAAAAAAAA